rnacentral:rRNA from 1 species
UACGUAGGGGGCUAGCGUUGUCCGGAAUCAUUGGGCGUAAAGCGCGUGUAGGCGGUUCGGUAAGUCCGCUGUGAAAGUCGGGGGCUCAACCCUCGGAUGCCGGUGGAUACUGUCGAGCUCGAGUACGGAAGAGGCGAGUGGAAUUCCUGGUGUAGCGGUGAAAUGCGCAGAUAUCAGGAGGAACACCGGUGGCGAAGGCGGGUCUCUGGGCCGAUGACUGACGCUGAGGAGCGAAAGCGUGGGGAGCGAACAGG